rnacentral:rRNA from 1 species
UACGGAGGGUGCAAGCGUUAUCCGGAUUCACUGGGCUUAAAGGGUGCGUAGGAGGGCAGGUAAGUCAGUGGUGAAAUCUCCAAGCUUAACUUGGAAACUGCCGUUGAUACUAUCUGUCUUGAAUAUUGUGGAGGUGAGCGGAAUAUGUCAUGUAGCGGUGAAAUGCUUAGAUAUGACAUAGAACACCAAUUGCGAAGGCAGCUCACUACUCAAUCAUUGACUCUGAGGCACGAAAGCCUUGGGAUCAAACAGG